rnacentral:rRNA from 1 species
GACGAACGCUGGCGGCGUGCCUAAUACAUGCAAGUCGAACGCUGAAGCGAGGAGCUUGCUCUUCUUGGAUGAGUUGCGAACGGGUGAGUAACGCGUAGGUAACCUGCCUGGUAGCGGGGGAUAACUAUUGGAAACGAUAGCUAAUACCGCAUAAAAUUGAUUAUUGCAUGAUACUUAAUUGAAAGAUGCAACUGCAUCACUACCAGAUGGACCUGCGUUGUAUUAGCUAGUUGGUGAGGUAACGGCUCACCAAGGCGACGAUACAUAGCCGACCUGAGAGGGUGAUCGGCCACACUGGGACUGAGACACGGCCCAGACCCCUACGGGGAGCAGCAGUAGGGAAACUUCGGAAAUGGGGGGAACCCUGACCGAGCAACGCCGCGGGAGUGAAGAAGGGUUUCGGGUCGGAAAGCUCUGUUGUAAGGGAAGAACGGGUGUGAGAGUGGAAAGUUCACACUGUGACGGUACCUUAACAGAAAGGGACGGCUAACUACGUG